AACGAACGCUGGCGGCAUGCCUAACACAUGCAAGUCGAACGAGACCUUCGGGUCUAGUGGCGCACGGGUGCGUAACGCGUGGGAACCUGCCCUUAGGUUCGGAAUAACUCCCCGAAAGGGGUGCUAUUACCGGAUAAUGUCUUCGGACCAAAGAUUUAUCGCCUUUGGAUGGGCCCGCGUUGGAUUAGCUAGUUGGUAGGGUUAAAGCCUACCAAGGCGACGAUCCAUAGCUGGUCUGAGAGGAUGGUCAGCCACACUGAGACUGAGACACGGCCCGGACUCCUACGGGAGGCAGCAGUGGGGAAUAUUGGACCGUGGGCGAAAGCCUGAUCCAGCAAUGCCGCGUGAGUGAUGAAGGCCUUAGGGUUGUAAAGCUCUUUUACCCGGGAUGAUAAUGACAGUACCGGGAGAAUAAGCUCCGGCUAACUCCGUG
rnacentral:rRNA from 1 species